ensembl:lncRNA
GGGGGUUGGCAGGGAGAUGUGCCUGCUAGCAGGGAGAUGUGCCUGGCUCACGGCUAACUGGUGCUAGCUUCGUGGCAGUGGCGUUAGCCAAGGUCCAGAGUUUACAGCAAGUAUCCGGUGGAGUAUUGGGCUCUAGCCAUGUAUGAGUGUGGUUCGGGUGAACAGCUGAGUAGGCCGGGAAGUGGGCCUCAGGGAUAGCUUCGGUACUGGGUGCAAGCUAGCUGUGAAGAUCAGAAGUAGUGGUCCAUUACGGCAAGAAUCCAGCGUUGUUGUGGAGAGACAGUUCGAUACUGGUAGACUGGCGAGUAUUAUCCAGGCUGAAAAAACUGGCUGGCUGUGCAGAAGGUAAUAGCAGUGGCUAACAAUGACUAAAUAGCUUGUAGCUAGUUAGCGGGUUAGCUUCUGGAGGUUCUUGAAUGUGUUCUAAAGUUAAAAAUAAUAGCGAUUCCGUAUCACAUUGGGUGAGGCAGGUUACUGGAAGGUAUAAUCAAAUUAAAAAUCGAAAAGAGAUUGAAAAUAAAUAUGGGUCCAGUGAGUGGUUGGGCUGGCUGGGGACACGGCGAUUCAGACAGUUAGCAAGCCUGUGCUAACAAGCUAACAGUUAGUAGGCCGGGGCUAAACAAGCUAGCAGUUAGCAUACCGGGGCUAAACAAGCUAGCAGUUAGUAGACCCGGGCAGGCUAGCAUUUAGCAGGCCGAAUUAGCAAGCAAGCAGAUAGCAAGGGCUAGAAAGUUAGCCUUUGGGGAAAGUCACGAUGUAGUUAAGUCUGUUUAUGCCUCUUCAUGCGGUGAUGUCGAUAGACUGGUCAUGGAAUUAGUAGGAUUCCAAAUAGCUCUAGGUAGCUAAGCAGGCCUAGCUGGUUAGCAUAAUGGGCCUUCAACAGGCGUCGCGCCUGAGUCCUCGGGCAGAUUAUGUCAGUAUUCCUGACGUAGGGGAUCUGCGGGGUUCCAUGCCCCGUACCGGCUGUAGAAGAUGUCCGGAUAUUGUAGCCCAGGAGUAGCACAGUAGCUCUGGCCGGGCUAGCUUCAACCUAAGUGGAUGGAAAUGCUAGCCAGGAGUAGUCAUCCGGGGUUGCGGUUAGCUAGUUGUGAAGAUCCAGUUGAAAAUGUUCCGUAUGCGGAACUAAAAAUAAUAGGUCCGUUAUGCUCUGGUUAGAGUUGCGUUGUUCGAACUGGCGAGAGCUUUCCGAGCUAAAGGUUAGCUGAUGACAGCUAGCAAUGGUUUGCUGACUGAUAGCUGGUAGUUAGCUGGCUAGCUUCAGUUGACGGGUUCCAGAUCCGAAGUAAAUAUAAAUACUUUAGAAAAAAAAGCAGAUCCACGCUACAUUGGGUGAGGCGGGUUGCAGGAGAGUAUUUAGAGGUUGAGGUUUAGCAAAAUAUUUAAAAAGAUAUGCGAAUAAAAAUAUGUACAAACGAUAUAUACAAGGGACACGACAGAACAAGACGUCUGACUGCUACGCCAUCUUGGAAGAUUGUACACACCUGGUUCCCAUUGUAUUAUUAUUAUUUCCUUAUUUAAAACUUGUUGGGGAUAGGGGGCAGUAUUUUCACUUUGGAUGAAUUGCGUGCCCAUAGUGAACUGCAUCAAACUCUGUCCUAAAUUGCUAAUAUAUGCAUAUUAUUAUUAUUGGACUAUUGGAUAGAAAACACUCUGAAGUCUCUAAAACUGUUUGAAUUAUGUCUGUGAGUAUAACAGAACUCAUAGGGCAGGCAAUCUUCCAAACAAGUUUUGAAAUUCUGAAAGUUGGGGCAACUUUGACGUCAUCGCCCCCUCCUUUCCCAACAAGAUAUGGAUCUGGAAACACUUCCUACGCCUUCCACUAGAUGUCCUCAUUCAGUAGAAAGUGUAAUGGAGCACUUGCUGUGAACUUUGACCUAAUGGGAGGGAAAAUAGUGUGCUACGGCUGUUCCAGUCAGCCCCAGAUGAAAACGAAUGAUCCGGUUGGAACGUUAUUGGAUAUAUAUGAUUAUAACAUCCUGAAGAUUGAUUCUGUACUUAGUUUGACCAGUUUUUUCGACCUGGAAUAUAUCUUUUGGACAUUUUCAUGCAAGUUAUCUUGGACCAGCUGUCAGUUUUUGGGCACGUGAGCUGAAAGUGACAGCAAAUGCUGCUACUUGGACACUAGUAUUGGACAUUAUGGAACAAAACAACGAUUUAUUGUGGAAGUAGGACUCCUUGCACUACAUUCUGAUGAAAGAUCAUGAAAGCAGCCGCUGCCUGCUCGCAACUCCACAGCACAGAUCACAACGGCCCAUUGGCAUGGAAUGAGGCACAAAAUGACUACCCUAGGCAAGAAGAGCCGCUGAGAAGCAGAGGGAAGGGAAGACAACAAGCGCAGACAGACUACCCAGUAAAUAUGCCACUUCAUGGAUAAAGGAAUUCCUGCGUCAGUCUCAUCCAUUCCUCUGUCACCUGACCCGUGACCCGUGACCACUUGUUCACCUUCACUGUCCGUCAUCCUAACUGUCCCGUACCCACACAGAUUUCAAUAAUCUUUCAAUGAUCCUUUAAGCUGGAUGAUGACUGAAACAAAGACAGGUGAAGAGGAAAUGGAGGAGGAGAAGGAAGAAUUGUCUCCACUGGAAGGAAGGAGAGAGGAGGAAAGAGCGGCUGAGGGAAAAGUAUUGGAACAAAUAAGCCUAAAGCCAGGAGAUAAGCCUAAAGCAACAAAGGCUUUAUCCACAACCACCAGCAGCACCAGAAGAACCAGGCAACAAUUGAGCAGACAAGCACCUGGUUAUCUUAAGGAUUAUGUGGUGGAGAAUCCCAGACCAAAGGGCAAGCCCACCGGAGCUCAACUGUACGUUUCAGUCCCCUUCGAGCCAAGGAUGGCAAACUGCAGGAAAGUGGUCUACAGGAAGAACCCAUGGAGGAGGUAACUCCCACCGCACAGGUUGACCAGCUUCCCGAGGCGGGCUCCCAUUCACCCUUAAGUAAUGGGAAAUUGUUGAGGAACUCUAGACGGAGUGAGAGUUCGACCAGUGGAUACCCCUUUGGAAGUGGCAAUGGCAGCCGCCAUUCACUAGCCCUCAGCGAUUCCCAGACCGCUGUCCUACGAGAGAGGAUGAAACCACUAGCGUUGGAGGAAAUUGAGCAUCAGAUUGAGGAGGAAAGACAGUCUGAUUAAUGAUGUCACCUAUUGGAUGUGCAGGCCCGUAGUGCUCUGCAGAAAUGGGAAUUCAUUGCCAAGGACUUGGCACAGCAGCGACGGCACCAUCAAGCAAGAAGGGAAUUGGAGGAGGCAUGGAUGGUCUCAUCCUUCCUGGAGAGGAACAAACAGGGAGUUGACCUGACCACAACUCCACAUGGACCUGACCUGUCUGCCUUUCUUUCCGAAUCUACUCCUCUGGUACAGCAUGGCACACAGUCACCGGAGGAUCCGAGGUCAACAGCCAACACGGAGCACGUGGGACAGGCCGCUCCAACAACGCCCUCUAUGCCAGUGCCACAAGUUAGCAUUCUACCUUCAUCUAGACAAAGCACCACUCCUUCAUCUUUCCGCCAAUUGUCAACCAUGGCAAAUCGUUCCUCUCAUCCAGGGCCUGGAUCAGGCCAGUCAUCAACCAUCAGGUGGGAGGGCUCUCACCCAAUUCAGGCUGCCACCAAUGGAGGAGGGUCUGGGACAGAAGGGGACAGGCUCAAUGAGGCCACAGUGAGUUCAUCAGCAGUCCUGGGUGUAUCCUUCACGCAACCAAAAGGAGCCAACAUCAUGAAACUGCUAGUAUCCUCAGCCUAUGGAAUUCCCAGACACAAACUGCCAUACUUUGAGAGUGGAAAGGCCAGUGAUUUUGUCCUUUUGGUAAUGGCAGUGAAGAGCCUACUGGGUAUUCAAAGUAAUCUGUCAGAACGCUACAAAUACCAAGUACUGAUGGAUCACUUGCGGUUUCCCAGUGCUCACAGGCUGGCCAAAUCAUUUAUGCACUCCGCAACACCACGCACUGCUGCUAUCCAGGCCCUGAAAGUGAAAUAUGGUGAGCCACGCCAGCUAGUCCAGAAUGAACUAAACAACAUCCUCAAUACGUCUCCAACCAAAUGGGAGACCAUGCUGCCUUCCAAGAGUUCUCCCUUGCUGUCCAAUCCCUGACCUCGAUACUCCAAUCCAUUGAAGGAGAAGAUGGGAACGAGCUGAAAUGUGGCUCCCACAUGGACAGGCUUCUUAACUUCUUGAGGUACAGGGGGCAGCAUUUUCAGUUUUGGAUAAAUAGCAUGCCCAAUUUCAGCUUCCUGCUACUCAUACCAGGAAUAUAAGAUAUGCAUAUUAUUAGUAGAUUUGGAUAGAAAACAC